AGGAGCUUAACUUAUCAGGUGAAGGUGGCUGCAUAUUCCCACUAAGGUGGAGGAGGCUGCAUAUUUUGACGAAGUGAAGGGAACGGGAACUUUCUGGCAAAGAUACACAAUGUCAUCAUCAAAUGUGAAUGACAGCAACCAAGGUUCAAUACUAAAGUAUUUGAAUAUUGUAUGCUAUUGCCAAAAAAGGGGACUGGUUGGAAUAUCAGAGAAUGUUGAUAGCAAGAACAAGUUGUACUAUUGCUGCCUCAAUGCACCUCAUGGAUAUAGAUUCUUUUCUUGGUGUGACCUUGUAGAAGAACCAAGAGUAUUGCCUCUUACCAAAGACAAUAUCAACACAAUCAAUCCCUAGGCAAUUAUUGGUGGGAUAAGCCAAAAAGACCAACAAAUGAAGAAAGAGAUUCGUGCUCUGAAGAAAAGAAGGAGGUGAUUGGAGAAGCCUGUUGGAACACUGCGAAUUGUAAUAGUUGUGCUUGUGUUAAUCAUUAUUAUCCUGUUUAGGAGAAAAUGAGGAGUUAGAAAGAUGAUAUAUAAGUUGUGACAAGUUGUAUUGAUUAACUUUUCAUAUUAUUACAAUGAUUUUAUUAUGUUAAA